rnacentral:snoRNA from 1 species
AUCGUGCGGUUAUAUACCGACGCCCACAUUCGUGUUGCUCGCUUUUCGUUAAAUACCAUGGAAUGGUUUGAGCGUCAGUCGUGGGCCAGAGUCAAAUGGACGUCUUAGCAUCCAUACAGUGACCUGUUAAAUAUAAACGGGUCAUUGUGGAUCGGUGGUUCAGAAAUGU